GCCCCCGUAGCCCAAUCGGCAGAGGCACUGGCCUUAAAAGCCAGACAGUGUCGGUUCAAGUCCGACCGGGGGCA
rnacentral:tRNA from 2 species